GUUGCUCAGAAGCAGCGAGGAGGAGCCUGGCAGCUGGCUGGGAGCCUGGAUGCCCUCUUUCACACCCACUGUGCACCGGGCACGGGUCACACAGGCGGGGCGAGCGCGGCCACCCCAGGAGCCCUGCAAUGCCCUGCGACUUGGCUCAGCGUCCAAGACAGGCUGUAUGGAGCCCAGGCUGACCUCAAACUUGAAACGAUCCUCCUGCCUCAGCCUCCCUAGUGCUGGGAUGACAGGCGUGUGCCCCCACGCCCGGCAACACUGGGGCCUUUGAGAGGCAAGGAUGCACCCAGGGUGGGCAGCCAGCUGGUGGCUGUGCCCAGUCUAGAGCAGGAGCCUUGGGACCGCGCAGUGCAAGCUGCACACUUGGUGUGCCCGGCCCCCUUGUCUGUCCCCCUGGCCUCCCCUCCUCUGGCCUCACAUGCGGCCCCUCACUUCCCCUGGGCCUCCUCUGUGCUGUAGCAGCGCUGAGGUUUCCGGCUCAUUCCCUCCCCUCCUGCCUUUGAAGGCUCCUCUCCUGCCAGCCACACGCGCGCGCGCACACACACACGCGCACACACACACACACACACACACACACACAGGGCUUUCUCUCCCAUCCUCCUAAUCCCUGCUGCACGCCAGCCUCCCAGGGCUUUCGGGGCUCCCCUGCAGGCCCCACCCCAGCCCCCCGUCUCUCCAGUGAGGCCCAGAGGCAGGCAGUGAGGACAGGGCUGGGCUAGGGCUGCUCCGAGCAGGCACAGCGUCUUCCCAGGAGGACCCAGGCUUGAAGCGCCCUUCCCUUCCUAGAGGAGGCCACAGUGGGGUGGAGGGCAGGGGCCAGAGGUCGCCCUGACCCCCACCUAGGAGCAAGCCCUGGCCCCCCACGCCGGGUGCUGUGUGAACCCCUUGCUCAGCAAGGACCCUCCGAGACCCCACUGCAGGGGAGGUGAGUGCUGGCGGCUCCAAGCUGGGCAGGACGAGGCAGAUGGGCAGCCCUGGGCAGAGGGCGCCGCAAGGCAAGACACUGUGCCCUGAAACCAGGGGACCUUGAAGACUCCCCCUUGGUGAUGAGGUCCAGGAGAGGAAGUGCUUUGCAAGCUCAGUGCUCAUUCAUUCAUUCGACAAACGUCAGGUGAGCAACUCCUGGCGCCCAGCAGUGUGUGGGGCGGGGAGACAGAAACGAGGGGGACGGAGCUGUCCUGCCUAUCGGGGAUGUGCUGGGGGCAAAUGGCUCGGUCCCCAGUGCAGGCAGGAGAAAAGGACCAAGGGAAAUAAGCCCGAGGGAGGGAGGGAGGCAGGAACCGUGCUGACGGUGUCAGACCGCCUGCAAACACCAGCUCACUGGUGCCUGUACACACACUCACUCUCACACACGCACUCACACUCACACAUACGCACACACACAUUCACACACACGCACACACAGCAGGGUCAGAGAGGCAGACCAACAAGCUCAGCGCUGCACAGCCCCCGCUCUGCUCUGACCUCCUGGCCCUAGCGGGUGGUGGGGGUGGGGCAGGGGCGGCCCCUCCCCCAUGACCUCGUGACCCUGGCCGGGUCUCCGCCCCUCCUCCCAUUCGGCGCAGGGCCCGGAGGUCACGCGAGGUCAGGGAGGAAGGAAGUGGCCGCUGUGUCACCGCUGCGCUGCAGAAGUCUGCACAGGGGACGCACGGGACGCGCGGGGAUGCAGGCGCAGUCCCCUCCCCCCUUCCGCCCCUCCGAGGCCUGCGCUUGGCCAACUCACUUGUGUCCCUGUCGUUGAGCGCAAGGAACCGCCUUUGGACACACAUCCCACGAGGAGCAGCCGCGGCUCCCGCGUCCCCACGCUGCACGAGGUCACGCGGUCACUCGCUGAGCAAAAGCGCCCUGAGCCGCUGCGUGGGACAGGGCUCCCGCGCAGAUGUGGGGCGCGCUGAGGCCAGAGGGACACGGGGGGAACAGGUGGCCUGGGGCCAGGGGGAGGGACAACCACCCAGGAGUGACAGUCAGAAGGGCUACUGGAGGAGACUGAGGAGGAGCGAGCCAGCGAGGAGGGGCCGAGGCCUGGACACCCAGGAGCAUGGCCCCUGAAGGACACUGGGGCUGGCAGCUUCCCCGGCCAAGCCUGGGCCUUGGGAGCCCAAAGUCAGGGUGUCUGUGGGACGCACAGCCUCUGGGCCCCAGGGAAGGGACGUCCUGCUGUUCUGGUGUCUCCAGGUCACCUGCAGUCAUGGGCUUGUGGCCCCAUCCCUGUCCUCAAAGCAUAGGGUGUCCCCAAAGACUUAGGCCUGCUUCUGUUGGAGGCUGGGUGCUUUGUAAAGAAAAGAGCUUUAUGUGGCUCACAGUUUUAGAGGCUAAAAGCCCAAGCCUGGAUGGCAUCACACUGGGGUGUCACUUGUGGGAGCGAUCGGCCGGAAAGACUCAGGCUCAGGUGCCAGGCUGUCAGGGAAGCUAGGCCUCCUGCAGGACCAUGCAGAGCUGAAGACAGACACAGACUUCCCGGAUCCUGCAGAGAAGAAUUCACCUGGCAGCCCAGGCUGUCCUUGAACUCAUGAUGACCCUCAGCCUCCCAAAUAUUGGGACUGCAGGUGUGCGCCACCAUGCCUGGCUGGGGAGGUGGUUUAACCCACUCUUCCUCACUCUUACCUGAGGGAAAAGGGAAGGAUUAAUGCAUGAUUAUAAAGUAUUAAAUACAUGUUAAAUAUCAUUCUUAUUUCGAGCUAAGUGUGGAGAUGUGACUCAGUCUGCUAGGUCUCUUCCCCCUAAAAAUGGCUCUCCUAAUCUUAAAUGGGCAUAUGGCUGCCUAGCCUAAAGACUACAUUUCCCAGAAUCCCGUGCAGCUAGACAAGCUCACAUGACCAACUUUUGGCCAAUGGGAUGACAGCAGAAGUGGUUUGGCCCAUUUCCUGGUAGUUUUCUUUAAAAGACAGGGUGAGAUCUCCUUUAAACUGGACAGAAUAUGAGCAUAGAGGCUGGAGCUGGAGCAGCCAUUGUGCACUGUGAGGUGUCAGCCCUGUGUGUUGAGGGUGGCAAAGCAUUAAGUCUCCUACCAGACUUGGAUUGCCUAUACUUCCUGGAGCAAGAAAUAAAUCUUUUCUUGUUUAAA